UACGGAAGGCAGCAGUGGGGAAUAUUGCACAAUGGGCGCAAGCCUGAUGCAGCCAUGCCGCGUGUAUGAAGAAGGCCUUCGGGUUGUAAAGUACUUUUCAGCGGGGAGGAAGGCGGUGAAGUUAAUAGCUUCACCGAUUGACGUUACCCGCAGAAGAAGCACCGGCUAACUCCGUGCCAGCAGCCGCGGUAAUACGGAGGGUGCAAGCGUUAAUCGGAAUUACUGGGCGUAAAAGCGCACGCAGGCGGUCUGUCAAGUCGGAUGUGAAAUCCCCGGGCUUAACCUGGGAACUGCAUUCGAAACUGGCAGGCUAGAGUCUUGUAGAGGGGGUAGAAGUUCCAGGUGUAGCGGUGAAAUGCGUAGAGAUCUGGAGGAAUACCGGUGGCGAAGGCGGCCCCUGGGACAAAGCUGACGCUCAGGUGCGAAAGCGUGGGGAGCAAACGAGGAUUAGGAUAC
rnacentral:rRNA from 1 species